rnacentral:rRNA from 1 species
AGAAUCAACGCUGGCGGCGUGCCUAACACAUGCAAGUCGAACGAGAAAGUGGAGCAAUCCAUGAGUAAAGUGGCGCACGGGUGAGUAACACGUGACUAACCUACCCUUGAGUGGGGAAUAACCUCGGGAAACCGGGCUAAUACCGCAUAACACCUACGGGUCAAAGGAGCAAUUCGCUUAAGGAGGGGGUCGCGGCAGAUUAGCUUGUUGGUGGGGUGAUGGCCUACCAAGGCGACGACGGGUAG